AUGAACGCUGGCGGCGUGCCUAAUACAUGCAAGUCGAGCGAACAGAUGAGGAGCUUGCUCCUCUGACGUUAGCGGCGGACGGGUGAGUAACACGUGGAUAACCUACCUAUAAGACUGGGAUAACUUCGGGAAACCGGAGCUAAUACCGGAUAAUAUAUUGAACCGCAUGGUUCAAUAGUGAAAGACGGUUUUGCUGUCACUUAUAGAUGGAUCCGCGCCGCAUUAGCUAGUUGGUAAGGUAACGGCUUACCAAGGCAACGAUGCGUAGCCGACCUGAGAGGGUGAUCGGCCACACUGGAACUGAGACACGGUCCAGACUCCUACGGGAGGCAUCAGUAGGGAAUCUUCCGCAAUGGGCGAAAGCCUGACGGAGCAACGCCGCGUGAGUGAUGAAGGUCUUCGGAUCGUAAAACUCUGUUAUUAGGGAAGAACAAAUGUGUAAGUAACUAUGCACGUCUUGACGGUACCUAAUCAGAAAGCCACGGCUAACUACGUG
rnacentral:rRNA from 1 species